rnacentral:lncRNA from 1 species
GCAGCACCCCUAUUCUCUUCUCUUGGCUCCCCUAGGCACAGCCAAAUCACCAUCCCUAGCCACCAUCGGCCGCACCACCACUCUUACUUUUCCAUCGACUAUCCCGACUGCACCCAUGUUGGGCCACCACAUCCUUUCUUCCUCGGAUUUCAAGAGCCAUGAGAGGGCUUUGUUUCUGCUAAAGAGAAAGAGAGGAGAGAGAGAAAGAGAGAGGGGGGAAGAGGAGAGUGAAAGAGAGAGAAAGAAUAAAGAGAAAAAGAAAGAAAGAGAGGAAAAGAAGAGAGAGAGAAAAGAGAAGAG